rnacentral:rRNA from 1 species
UUUCAAGCUAGUAAGGGCGUACGGUGGAUGCCUUGGCGCCAAGAGCCGAAGAAGGGCGUAGCAAGCUGCGAUAAGCCCCGGGGAGCCGCAAGCAGGCUGCGAUCCGGGGAUUCCCGAAUGGGGCAACCCAGCCGGAGUAAUGUCCGGCUAUCCUGUCCUGAAUCCAUAGGGGCAGGAGGGCAACCGGGGGAACUGAAACAUCNNNNNNNNNNAGAAAGCAACCGCGAUUCCCUAAGUAGCGGCGAGCGAACCGGGAACAGCCCAAACCCGGCAUGUGUUCAAGGCUGCACCCGUUGCAUGCCGGGGGUAGCGGGGCGCUUUUUCGGGCAAGGUGCGGCUUGCCCCGGGAGUUACAAAGGCACCGGUUAGGAGAACAGGCCUGGAAAGGCCGACCAGAGGGGGUAACAGUCCCGUAUCCGAAAGCCGGUACCCUCCCGAUAAGCGUUCCCAAGUACUGCGGGGCACGUGGAAUCCCGUAGGAAUCCAGGAGGACCNNNNNNNNNNCGAUAGUGAACCAGUACCGUGAGGGAAAGGUGAAAAGCACCCCGGGAGGGGAGUGAAAGAGAACCUGAAACCGUAUGCCUACAAGCAGUCAGAGCCCUGCACUCAAUGGAGCUUUUGGGAGCUUUUAAGCCAAACCGGGCAGGUGCCCUAAAAGCACCAUCGAGUCUCGAAGGUUCCAUUGAGUGCGGGGUGAUGGCGUACUUUUUGUAGAACGGACCGGCGAGUUGCGCGGGGUAGCGAGGUUAAGGGCGAGAACCCGGAGCCGGAGCGAAAGCGAGUCCGAAAAGGGCGCAUUAGUUACCUUGCGCAGACCCGAAACCGGGUGAGCUACCUAUGGGCAGGGUGAAGCGUGGAUAACCCCACGUGGAGGCCCGAACCGACCGUCGUUGAAAAGGCGGCGGAUGACCUGUGGGUAGAGGUGAAAUGCCAACCGAACCCGGAGAU